UCAGAGCGUAGGGACAAAGUCGAAUGUCAGAGCUCUCCACUCAUGUGAAGACUCCGCUGGAGAUUGCGAGAGAAAAUAGAAUGUGGUGCUGACGAUACGCCGCUGGAUCCUGUUAGAUCAACAUUGGUUUCCUUCGUUGUGUUUGUUUUCUUUGGGGGCGCCACCUUAACGAUAAAUUGCUCUGAAGAAAGAGGCAGCAGAAACCAUCCAGACGGACAAUGCACCAAAGAAGACCAUACCAUGUGCAGAAACAUAUCGAUUCACCCGGUUAUAUUCACGCAGCGUUUAUUCUACAGCUGCGGUAUAAAUGAACCCGAUGAGCUCAUUAUUGCGAAGCCCAUUUAUUUCAUGUUUGCGACGCCUUUGAUUACAGGCAUAAAAAGCGGUGUAUAAAAAAGUGCUAAUCAAAAUUCCGACACUCCUCUAGUGUGAGAAGACAAGAUCACAUUUUUCACAGCUCAACAAAACAUUCCCUCCACCCCCUCCCAAGUCAACCGAGUCUUCAAAAACAGAAGCGCUUGCCAUUAUUCCGGCGGAUUUCCAUCCACAG